CCUACGGGAGGCUGCAGUGGGGAAUAUUGCACAAUGGGCGCAAGCCUGAUGCAGCCAUGCCGCGUGUGUGAAGAAGGCCUUCGGGUUGUAAAGCACUUUCAGCGGGGAGGAAGGCGGUGAGGUUAAUAACCUCAUCGAUUGACGUUACCCGCAGAAGAAGCACCGGCUAACUCCGUGCCAGCAGCCGCGGUAAUACGGAGGGUGCAAGCGUUAAUCGGAAUUACUGGGCGUAAAGCGCACGCAGGCGGUCUGUCAAGUCGGAUGUGAAAUCCCCGGGCUCAACCUGGGAACUGCAUUCGAAACUGGCAGGCUAGAGUCUUGUAGAGGGGGGUAGAAUUCCAGGUGUAGCGGUGAAAUGCGUAGAGAUCUGGAGGAAUACCGGUGGCGAAGGCGGCCCCCUGGACAAAGACUGACGCUCAGGUGCGAAGGCGUGGGGAGCAAACAGGAUUAGAUACCCGUGUAGUC
rnacentral:rRNA from 1 species